UUCCACCCUUCAAAACAAAUCAACUUACAAUUGUCUAUUUAUCUCAUCUAGUAUAUAUUAGUACUUUUAAGUCUAAAACAGGUUGAAUUCCCAACAGAAAACGUGAAAUCAUAUGCACUCAUACAACCAUAAAUCGUAAAUUCUUUAUGAAGUAACCACAGAGAAGUUAACAUAGAGAAACAUAUAUCAGAAACAAGAAAACUCAAAUAAAAACUAAAUAGGAUCAGUGAGGAGAAAUGAACCUUAAUAUUGAAUCAUGACUUUACAAUCACUCAAACAAAACUAUGGAACGGGGUUCGACCGGAAAAUCAAUCAGGGAGCUCGAAAAAGUGCAUCGAUCGAAGCUUUGGCGGUGAACCUCGAACUCAACAACCAACCAACGAACCUCGAACAACAAGCAACAAUAGUGACCAACUCGAUUCAAUCGAACUCUGUUUUGAAACAAAAUCCAGAAAACGGAAAUGGAGCCUUUUUCUUCUUCUUCUUUUUUAUUUUCAGAUUUUGAAGUAAAUUGAGGACAUGAAAGAACCUAAUCUCUUUAUCUCCUUUCAUAUGCGGCUGAAAUUGGGAGUUGAAGGCUGAUGGUGAUUGAUCUUGGUGGUGUUUAAAGCUGGAAGGUGAAGUAGCAGUAGCAGCUCAUUGAUUAGAGGUGUGGUGGUGACGGACUGGUGGGAUGAGCGGCAGGUUUCUGGUUUCUCGCCGCUGGGUGGUGUGAAAGGCGGUGGUUACAGGGGUAGUCCUUUGGUCGAAGGGGGAACUGCUGCUCUCAGCUGGUGGGGUUGGUCUCUGGCACUGGUGUUUGGAUGGGGGGUAGUAACGAAGAUGACGACCGGUUCAGCGGGGGAGGUCCUCAAACGUUCCGCGGCUGAUUUCCCAAGUUCUCUCUAGGUCACAGGCGUAUUUCUGUGUAUUUUCCUUGCAAUCCAAUUAAAA
rnacentral:lncRNA from 1 species